AGUGAACGCUGGCGGUAGGCCUAACACAUGCAAGUCGAACGGCAGCACAGGAGAGCCUGCUCUCUGGGUGGCGAGUGGCGGACGGGUGAGGAAUACAUCGGAAUCUACUCUGUCGUGGGGGAUAACGUAGGGAAACUUACGCUAAUACCGCAUACGACCUACGGGUGAAAGCAGGGGACCUUCGGGCCUUGCGCGAUUGAAUGAGCCGAUGUCGGAUUAGCUAGUUGGCGGGGUAAGGCCCACCAAGGCGACGAUCCGUAGCUGGUCUGAGAGGAUGAUCAGCCACACUGGAACUGAGACACGGUCCAGACUCCUACGGGAGGCAGCAGUGGGGAAUAUUGGACAAUGGGCGCAAGCCUGAUCCGGCCAUACCGCGUGGGUGAAGAAGGCCUUCGGGUUGUAAAGCCCUUUUGUUGGGAAAGAAAUCCAGCUGGCUAAUACCCGGUUGGGAUGACGGUACCCAAAGAAUAAGCACCGGCUAACUUCGUGCCAGCCGCCGCCGUAA
rnacentral:rRNA from 1 species